AUGAUCUGUGAUGGGACUGGGGAGAUGAUGGUUGUGUUUUUAGAAUUUUGCGGUGGGGGAGUGAGGAGGUGAUGGUUGUGUUUUUGGAAUUUUUGUUCACGUAAGAUGGCUACCAAGACGAUUUUUAUGUUUAUUUCAUAGAAAAGUUGUAAAAAUUCAUAGAAAAGUUGUAAAAAUGUUAAAAGGUUAUAUAACGUAAGUUAUCUUUAUUUCUAGGGUUAUCGUAUUUGAAUAGCCUCAACUUUCAUCGUUUGGUCGAUUGCAUUCUUAACUUACGAAUUGUAGCACGUCACUCCCAACUUUCAACUUAUUUUCCUCUUGCUCUUCCAAACUAAUUGAACCCUAACCUAAUUAGUUUUUUUCACUGGCAUGGCACUUAUGUGGUGACGUGGCCUAUUUAAUGACGCGGCAUCUUAUAUGACACUUAUUUAGUGAUGUGAUAUCUGACGUGGCACUUGUUUAUUGACGUAACAUUUGACGCUAGAUAACUGGGUUAGGGUUCAGUUAGUUUGAGAAUGACAGAGGAAAAUAAGUUUAAAGUUUGGAGUGGUGUGAUAAAAUUCGUAAGUUGAGAGUAUUAUCGACCAAAUGAUGAAAGUUUAAGUUAUUUAAAUCUAUUAUUCCUUAUUUCUAAUUACAUAAUCUUUAAACGUAAUUUAUUGUAUUUAUUUAUGCAAUAUUAAUAGGGUGUUAAUAAAGCCACAACCCAAAAUUUAUUUUCACACUCUCUAUAUAGGUCGUAUAGGGUUAUACGACCCGUAUAAAAAAAUCUGAGAUGACAAAUAUUGAGUCGUAUAAUGCUUUACAUAAUGCUUUACGGCUCGUAUAAUGUUAUAUGACUCGUAUAGAUAGAGAAAAUAUUAAGUCAUGUAACAUUCUAUACUGGCUGUAUAACAUUAUACUAAUUGUAUAACAUUAUAUGAGAUUUGGGUCGUAUAACAUUGUAUACGGGUCGUAUAAUGUUAAGGCUCAUAUACAUAAAGACAAAAAAUAUUCUCUAACAUUUUUUGUACAAGAUUCUCCUAUAUUACCCGUAUAACUAAAUCGUAUAGCUGUAAGGGUGUGAAAAUAAGAUUUUUUGGAUGCGGGAAUAAUGGAAGCCUAUUAAUUACUACAUACUUUAUUAUAGUAACUUGGUUAUGAAAUAUAAAUGUAAAAGUCGAUGAUAAUGUAAAAUGUAUAAGGAUAUUUUUCUGGGAAUUUUUUUUCAUUUCAGUAAUGUAUAUAUGACUACACAUUUGUGAGUAAGCAUUAUCUAUAAGUGGAGAUGCUCUAAUAUAUUGGUUUGAGU
rnacentral:lncRNA from 1 species